GUUUUUUUCUUUUCUUUUUUUCUCAUUGAGUUUAUUUUUAUUUUUUAGGUAUACAGUGCAGUUACAUUCGUCAUUGGGAUCUUGUACCUUUACAUGAUGAGGAGUUUUUUUUUUUUUUCCCUUUCCAUCCACCCCAGAGCCUGCAUUGCCAAGCCGAAUUCCAGGGCACUGUUCCAGGCUUCUCUUAAGGUGUCUGGAAGUUAAUGAGUGUCAUUCAAGACUGAUGAAGGAUCACGGCCGCAAAGUAUUAACGUUGUCCUCUGUGGUGAUACAUAUAUAUAUAUAUAUAUAUGGUAUUGGGGAUCGAACUUGGGACCUUGUGCUUGUGAGGUAGG
rnacentral:lncRNA from 1 species